GAGUAAGUGGCUGAUAAAGGUAAUAAACUGUAAAUUUAUUUAUGAGAGUAUUUCUCCUUACUUA
rnacentral:tRNA from 1 species